rnacentral:rRNA from 1 species
GAUGAACGCUAGCUACAGGCUUAACACAUGCAAGUCGAGGGGUAGCAGGGUAGCAAUACCGCUGACGACCGGCGCACGGGUGAGUAACACGUAUCCAACCUUCCCAUAACUCGGGGAUAGCCUUUCGAAAGAAAGAUUAACACCCGAUAGUACUUAUAUAGGGCAUCCUAUAUAAGUUAAAGAUUUAUUGGUUAUGGAUGGGGAUGCGUUCCAUUAGAUAGUUGGUGAGGUAACGGCUCACCAAGUCUUCGAUGGAUAGGGGUUCUGAGAGGAAGGUCCCCCACAUUGGUACUGAGACACGGACCAAACUCCUACGGGAGGCAGCAGUGAGGAAUAUUGGUCAAUGGGCGAGAGCCUGAACCAGCCAAGUAGCGUGAAGGAUGAAGGUCCUAUGGAUUGUAAACUUCUUUUAUAGUAGAAUAAAGUGAUCCACGUGUGGAUUUUUGUAUGUAUACUAUGAAUAAGGAUCGGCUAACUCCGUGCCAGCCGCCGCAGUAA